GAUGAACGCUGGCGGCGUGCCUAAUACAUGCAAGUCGAGCGAACGGACGAGAAGCUUGCUUCUCUGAUGUUAGCGGCGGACGGGUGAGUAACACGUGGAUAACCUACCAAUAAGACUGGGAUAACUUCGGGAAACCGUAGCUAAUACCGGAUAAUAUUUUGAACCGCAUGGUUCAAAAGUGAAAGACGGUCUUGCUGUCACUUAUAGAUGGAUCCGCGCUGCAUUAGCUAGUUGGUAAGGUAACGGCUUACCAAGGCAACGAUGCAUAGCCGACCUGAGAGGGUGAUCGGCCACACUGGAACUGAGACACGGUCCAGACUCCUACGGGAGGCAGCAGUAGGGAAUCUUCCGCAAUGGGCGAAAGCCUGACGGGGCAACGCCGCGUGAGUGAUGAAGGUCUUCGGAUCGUAAAACUCUGUUAUUAGGGAAGAACAUAUGUGUAAGUAACUGUGCACAUCUUGACGGUACCUAAUCAGAAAGCCACGGCUAACUACGUG
rnacentral:rRNA from 1 species